AUUAAUAUGUAAAUAUAGAUGAGGGAUCUCCGUUUGAUGAAUCUUUUGAUGAUAUUUAAUAAUUUCUAACCUUGCUGUCAGUCAUUUAAUUGAUACCAAUUCAAUAUAUGCUGCAAAAGGCUAAUCAUUUUAAUAUUCCAAUAUAGGACAAGUCAGUUUUUUUUUUUUAUUCAGUGAUUCAAAUAUAUUUUAUCUUGUAACUUUGACCAGUUAAUUAUAAUAUUUAAAUAUUAUUAUUAGAUUUAAAUACCAUUUAAAUGUAGCAAAAUAGGAAGGAAGAGCUGACACACUACUGUUUCUUCACCUAACAGGUUUGUUGGGGAGUUUUGCUAGUUAGUAUGAUAGCAUGGGUCAAGUUUUUCCAUUUGAAAUAUAUUCUCAUACUCAGAUUCUCCAUAACGGUCAAAUUCUUCAGAAAUGCAAGACAUUGUCAUCCUUUAAUGACAGAAAUAUAUAAAAACUAAAUGAAUAUAUUAAAAUAUAUAUUAAAAUGAACUGGAUAUGAAGCACGCUUUGUUUUGUGUAUCCAGUAAUGUGUUUCUGUAUCAUUAUGUUCUUAUUUAAAGGUUGAUCAGGAACAAGUGAUCUUUUCUAACUGAUCCGACUUAAGGUUUUCAUUUAAUGGAAGAUCAAAACUACUCCCAAACUCCCAUAGAUCUUCAUUGAGGGGGUCAAAGCUUUUAUAAAAUCACUCUGAUAGGCCUUUAUCAUAGUCUGUUCCGAUUAGUAGAGUAAACUAAUUUGCGCCUGCAUUAUUGUCAAUAGACGGAUGCCAGUUUUGUGAAGAAAAUUAAGCUAAAUUAGUUUAACUUAACAAUAACCGUCAAUAUUUAAAAACAUGUUUAUUUAGACACAAUACCCUACUAUAUGUAUGUCAUCUUUUAUUUUAUUGUGUAACAUUAUCUGAGAGAUGCAGUUGUCAGCGCUGCUGGUGUUGCCAGGAAUGAGAUUAACAAGCAGCAUGCAGCACAAACUGCCUUGCCUCACUCCUGUUCGUACUAGAAAGGCAUUCACGAGUUGCCUGCCACAAACUAUCCUGCAGGUCAUCCCUUCAUAAGAGUUUUUGAUGAUGUUUGUGAUCUUUUCUGGCACUCCAUGGUGUCUUAGUAUCUUCCAGAGGGUCUGUCUAUCCACGUUGUCAAACACCUUCUCAUAGUCUAUGAAACUGACAUAGAGAGGAGAGUUCCACUCCAGCCACUGCUCCAAGAUGAUACGUAAUGUUGCAAUCUGGUUUGCAACUGACAAUAUGACUGCCGUUGACCUGGCCCUUCUCUCUCACACCCAACAACAGAUGCAGGAAAAGGCCAGCACUGUCGCGGAUACCUCAGCAAGUCUGGGCCUCAACAUCAAUAGAGAGAAAAGCAAGGGGGUUGGGCGUCACGGCAUUUGUUUCCCGGCGGACCAUUAAAGAACACGACACACACGUCUCCCAGACAUCCUGUAGAAUUCAACCAACCAGAUGACGACUUUGAAAAUCCUGAAGUGUUUCCGGAUAAGUGUGCCAUAUGCAUCAGACGUUCGGCCAACAGUCUGUGGGUGUGACGUCUGAGGCUGAGAUAAGGUCUAAACCAGCAUUAUAGGAACUACCAGUGACAGUGGAACUGUGAUUCUUACAUGACGGCCUUCACACAUGGAAGACUUUCAUUUUUGCUGCCUGAAACCGAUGAUAGGAUCAGUCAACUCUACUGUGGAGACGGCAAUACAACACAGGCUCCUCACCUUCUGAUCAGCCUGUGCUGAGACUGAAGAACAAGUGGUCGACCGAGGGGUGAUGUGGGGGUUUCUUUCCAAGGGGACAGGUGACAUCUCUGUGGGAGGAAGUUCUGAUGUUUAUUUUCCCCCUUGUGAGCGUUGAUAAAAGUGCACAUUGUGGUGAACUGAGACAAUACGCAUCAGACUCAC